rnacentral:rRNA from 1 species
ACAACGGAGAGUUUGAUCCUGGCUCAGGAUGAACGCUGGCGGCGUGCUUAACACAUGCAAGUCGAACGAACCUUCGGGUUAGUGGCGGACGGGUGAGUAACGCGUGAGAAUCUGCCCUCAGGAGGGGGAUAACGGUUGGAAACGACCGCUAAUACCCCAUAUGCCUACUGGUGAAACGAAUUUCGCCUGAGGAUGAGCUCGCGUCUGAUUAGCUAGUUGGUGAGGUAAUGGCUCACCAAGGCUUCGAUCAGUAGCUGGUCUGAGAGGAUGAUCAGCCACACUGGGACUGAGACACGGCCCAGACUCCUACGGGAGGCAGCAGUGGGGAAUUUUCCGCAAUGGGCGAAAGCCUGACGGAGCAA